rnacentral:ncRNA from 2 species
GGGUGUUCGCCAUGAUGCAGGCGGGCAGGUUUGUGUCGUUGGUCGGGCCGCCAGCG